rnacentral:rRNA from 1 species
GACGUAGGGUGCGAGCGUUGUCCGGAUUUAUUGGGCGUAAAGAGCUCGUAGGCGGCUCGUCGCGUCAGCUGUGAAAACCCGCGGCUUAACUGUGGGCUUGCAGCUGAUACGGGCGGGCUAGAGUUCGGUAGGGGAGACUGGAAUUCCUGGUGUAGCGGUGAAAUGCGCAGAUAUCAGGAGGAACACCGGUGGCGAAGGCGGCCUGCUGGGCAGUUGCUGACACUGAGGCGCGACAGCGUGGGGAGCAAACAGG